rfam:Gossypium arboreum cultivar AKA8401 contig_123836_1, whole genome shotgun sequence.
AACCCAUGGUGAGAGCACCUUCUUAAAAGGUCCUUGUAUCUCUUCCAUGCAUUGUAAAGAGUCUCUAAAUCCAUCUGCACAAAAAAAGAGACAUCAUUCCUUAGUUU